rnacentral:rRNA from 1 species
UAAACGACUCUCGGCAACGGAUAUCUCGGCUCACGCAUCGAUGAAGAACGUAGCAAAAUGCGAUACUUGGAGUGAAUUGCAGAAUCCCGUGAACCAUCGAGUUUUUGAACGCAAGUUGCGCCCGAAGCCUUUUGGCCGAGGGCACGUCUGCCUGGGCGUCACAC